AGACCCGGAUGCCGGCGAGGUCCUGGCUGGGAGAGGCCGCCGCUGCCUUCAGGUUUCCGAGGUGGGUAGAGAGGUUCCCGCUGCUUUGAGGUCAAGGCUCCUCGGUGGCAGCCACAGCAAAGGCUCCAGUGUCCGCCGCAGGGCAGAGGCCGGGCCUGUCUGGGGACCCCCGACUCAUCUGAGGCUCAGGGCGGAGGGUCCAGUGAACUGACCUUGCCCCGCUUCUCACCACGCGCCCAGUGUCACUGUAUUCAGCCACCACUGCACAAAGGCGGCACAGCUCUGUGCCCUGAGAAGCCCCUCAUUCCCUCAGUGACUCCACAGGGAACACCGGGUGGGCCCCUGGAUUCACAGCCCUGUAGCACGCUGCCCAAGGGGCCCCCUUGCUCUCCCACCACCCAGAACACCGAGCCCGUUGUCAAGGCUGAACCAUCCGCGGGCAGCUGGGACCAGGGAACAUGGUGAGGGGCUCACGGCACCUGGCGUGCAGAUCCCAGUAGCUGGAUGCGGUUCUGCUAAUCACUAACAGGCUUGCAGGCUUCCCCAGGAAUCCACCCAUAAACUUCACAGAACACCGUGUCUGUGAACCACCCAGUAUGUGCAUUCAGUUUCUAACCUCACUCUGGUCCGGAAUCUGCCACCUGCAGGAUCCAAUUAACAAGAGAGAGAUCUGGUACAAAGAUUAUUGUAUUAACCAUAAUGGUAAAGGGGAAGUGACCGCAUUCCCAUCCCAAGCAACCACUUGAAUUUUGAAGGAAAGGCAGGGGUUUAAAAAAGGAAAAGUUGGUAAGAAAGGCAUGCAAGAUUUGGGCUGAGAACCAGGUCUGUGCGUCUUGUUCUGGCGGCUCUCUGGCAUCCCAGUCCACCUAGAUCUUGGGCUGGCAUCAUCUGGGCAAUGCCUGGGUUGUUAACUAGCAACAUUGAAGUCACCUCUGGAAUUCUGCAUCAGGGUCUCCCGACUUUGUCUAUCUGUCUCAAAUUAGCUUCCGGAACUUCCAAAAAGGCACAUAGUUCGAUGCAAACAUAAAGUUAGAUUAAUGUGAAGGGAAUAUUUAUGGUGAAAGGGAGAAAGGUGGAGUCUAUUUCAAGGCGUAAGAAAAUUGAUUCUGCUGUUUGCCUCAAGAUUAUAUCUUUACACCCAAGAGAGACAGAAAAGUUUAACCUCUCUUCUGCCACCAUGUAUGACUGCCUUGCUUCCCCUUUUUCUUCUGCCAUGAUUAUAAGUUUCCUGAGGCGUCCCAAGCCAUGCAGAACUGUUUGGUGUGGAGAUUACUGAAGAAGGGUUUUACUUACUACUUGACAGAAUUCCCCUUGGUGAAGAGGAAAUGUCAGAGAUCUUUAAUUCAUGACGAUGUUGGAUUAUUGGCAGUUGGCUCACUAAGGAUCCCAUGUCCAAGAGCAGGAUUCUCCUUCCAAAGUGUGGGUGUGGACUUGAGGAGCAGCCUUUGAAAGAUGGGGCCCCUAGAAUUUAUAGAACUUCCUUUGAUUCCUUGGAGGUUUGCAGUCUCCAGGUUGUCUGUCAUCCAGGACUUUGACUGUUUGUGUGAAAGAGUGCUUCCUUUUGGGUGAAGAAUUCUGUAUGAAUAUCCUAGGGCUGCCAAAAUGAAAUACUACAAACUGGGUGGCUUAAAAAUGACAGGACUGUAUUCUCUCACAGUUCUAGAGACUAGAAGUCCAAAAUCAAGUGUGAGCUGGGCUGCACUCCCUCUGAGACUCAGGAGAAUUCUUCCUUGCCCUUUCCUCACUUGUGGAGGUGACUGGUAAUCCCGGACAUGCAUUGGUUUACUGCUGCACCACUCUGAUCUUUGCCUCUGCUGUCAUAUGGCACACUGUAUGUCUCUGUCUCUGUGUCCAAAUUUCCUUGUACUUAGAAAGACACCCAUCUUCCCACAUUGAGGGCCUGCCCUGCUCAAGUAAGACCUCAUCUUCACUAAUAACAUCUCCAGCUACCAUAUUUCCAAAUAAGGACGUGUUCUGAAGUGCUGGUUGUCAGGACUUUGACAUAUCAUUUGGGUACACAGUUUAAUACAUGACGAACCCCGUUACAGAGCUACCAUGUCUAGUGUCUUACACAUUUUGUUUGGAGGGGGAGGGUAAAAAUAACAAUGGACUCCUGUGUGUUCUCUGACGAUAGCAAUACCAAUAGCUACCAUGUAAUGCCUAUUAGUUGUUAGGUACUAAAUAUUAACUAAUUUCAUUCUUACAACAACCCUACUUUACAUAUGAGAAAACUGGGGUACAGGAAGUAACUGGCCCAUUGUCCUCCAGUUAGCAGUGGCAGAGACGGUAUACAAAGCCAGACUUCCCAGCUCCAGAGGCCGCAUACUUAAUACCACCCUGCCUUCUGGACAGUCAGGACAAGCAAUUAUGCCUGUGGUAAACAUACUGUGCUGACAAGUAAGGUUACACUUGAAAUGUGGCUUACAAUGCAAGGUAUAGAGAUUACAGGCAAUUCAUGUGUUCUGGUUAUUUGUUGCUAUUAAGUCUGAAUUAAAAUGUAAGUGUGAAAUUUCAGGUUUCAGGGAGUAUAAAAAAUAAUAUUAAAACCUCAAAUACUAAGUUUAAAAUGCAUUUUGAAAUUAAGCUGCCUGUAUAUCAUUCCCCACUGUCAAAUUCCAUUUCGUUUCUAUGGAAAACAUGUGUCAUAGUCAUUCUGGCUACUUCUUUAGAAAGGGCAUAGGUUGUAUGUAUUGGAAGGGAAUCCAUUAAACUGGAGUUGGAAAUAUUCUGGAGUCUCCGGAAUUACAGUAGGUGUUUGUUGGAGCAUUAUGGUGCAAGGACCUAGGAGUUUUUGAGAAGGUCAGUAUUACAUUCUCACUUAAAGUGCAAGAUAGCAAUAAAAUCCAUAGCAAUUGAAGAUAGCAAUGAACAGAAUACCAGCUCUACUAUAUAUGAAACUCUUCCAUGUGUUAGGAAGUCAACUAAACCAUGCUGUCAUGGGGUUCUGAGAGAGGGCAUCCAUCUCUAGCAGAAAUAUGGGUAUCUAAUGCUUGCAUAGCUUGAGUUAUAUUGUGGGACUAAUCUUGUAUAUAUAUGCAACAUUCAGUGUUCAUUAAUACACAAGUGUUACCUUUGGCUGUAGUUGCAAUACCUAGGGUCAUAUAGCUUCAUAGUGUCACUUGUCAAAUCUGUGAGGUUUCUUCAGUAAGAAUGAUGAUGGCAUGGUAGGUGUUGUUAAAGGGACUGGUGGUUUGCUUAGCCAGGGCCUCUACUUGCAAUUCUAAAUCUAUGACUGCCACCUGGGGGGAAGAGCUGGCUAGUGGGCAGAACAACUAGGAUGUCUGUUUAUGUCAGUAGUGUCUGUCUUUCACACUUUUCCAGUUGACAUAAAGAGAAUGCACUUUGGACAGUUACAUCCUGGGAUAUAAGGUCAUAUCCAGUUGCUUCUUUUAGUCCAGUUGUAAGGAAAGUAGGGCCAGCCAUGAGUGCCACAGGCUGUAGCUAACCCCAGAGGGAAGAACAGAUUCCACUCUGCAGGCUGGCAUUGCCUUGUCAUCCCAGCCACAUAUUAAGGGCUCAGUUACAUUGCUAAGGAGGCAACAAUUCCAUAUCAUGAGUGACAGUGUAGAGUAUGCUGUGGUGUUUCUUCACACAUAGCAGUGCUUGACCAAUUACUUGGAUUCGCACCACUGUCAGCCAUCCUACCUCACUGGAUAUGGCAUAGCCUAUAGUGGGAGUGAUAUUAAUGAAGUGUCUUCUGUUUUUAUAAUAGAUGGAAAAGAUGGCUUCUCCAAUGGAUGGAAAAUCAUAAAUUCUUACGUUGGGAGCUUGUAUUAUGCCAGGGCAGGCCUAUAGUGGAAGAAAUGGGCAAACUCUUUACAGAACCAACUAUGUUUUCUUUUGCAGGGAAGCCACCAUCUUCCACCCAUUCAGCAAAAAAGAUUAGUUUUAAUAAGGAGAAAUAAUGUACUUAUAACUAUAGAACUCAUUAAGAAUUUUAUAUUAACAGAAGGGUAUUACCUAUCUGUCUUCUUGUCUCCUCUUUAUCAGCAACUUCAGGUUUUCCUUAGGCUUAUGUGACCAGGUAGUCUGUUAUCUGGGGUCAAAUUGAGGUGGGACAGGUUUUUUCCAACAGCGAUGCACCCAUGGCUUUACAUUGGAUAACUUAACUGAACAAAGGUUAAUCAGUAGCACAUCAUGGGGUCUGUUCCACCUUUCAGUCAGCUGCUGAUCUUGUUUUUGACUUUUACAAGACUGUAGUGGCAUCUUGUCUCUUGGAUGGAAGGGGUGAAGAGGCUCACUGUGGAAUAAACAGGCCUGGAAAUAGCAAGCUGAUGUGCAGUUAGCAAGGUCUGCACCAAUCUGCACAUAUGGUUUAACUCUGGGCUCUUUUACCAGCUCUAAAGGUGCUGUUACUGGCAAGAGGUCUGGAAGGGCCUCCUAUAUAUAAUUUCAAAGAGACUUUUCCCAAGCCCACUUCAGGGCACCGUUCUGCCCCAGAACAAGGCAAUAAGAAAAAAUCUAUCCCAACGCAGGUCAAUUUCCUGCCUGAGUUUGGCUAUUGUCUUCUUCAAGGUGUUAUCUUUUAUUUCUUUACUGCUGACUGUGGUCUCCAUGAUGACUGUGGUUUCCAUUCGAUUUGCAGUGCUUGACUUACCUUUUGAGUAAACUCUGAAAUAAAAGAAAGAUCGUUGUCACUGUGUAUAGUGCAUGGGAGUCCAAACCUGGCAACGAUUUCCUUGAAUUAUGCCUUAGCCAGUCAUGUGGCUCUUUGGGACUUGGUGAGAUAUGCUUCUACCCAUCUUGAAACAAUAUCUAGAACAAUCAGGAGGAAUUUAUAGUUGCCACUGGCCACAGGCAUGUGAGUGAAUCCACUUGCCAAUCUUCCAAGAGUCACAGUUCUCUGUGUUGUACCUCUUCGUUGCAAAGAUUUUGUUCAGUCUCAAAGAUAUUUUUGGCACACAAAACACACUCGUAUGUGACUUUCUGAACAGUUUUCUGACCAUUCUGACACAUGGUCAUACAAAGUCUGCAAGGGAAUCUCAUUUGGAGUGUGUGCCCUCAUGUAAAUGUUUUAAAAUUGUAGACCAGGGCCUCGGAGAGUAAGAAUAAUCCAUAAGCAUUAGUUUUUCAGAAUAAAUCUGGAUCUGUUUUACCAAAUCCCCAGUCGCAGGCAUGCUUCUUGUCUAUUUAGUAUAAUGGAGUUUGAACUAUGGAAACUCCAGAUGUGGAAUCAAAGCUCAUAGCAGGUGUGCAUCCUGCACUGCUCACUUCUCAGCCUUUUCUGCAGUCUGAUUUCCUUUAGGUGCCAAUGAGUCAUCUUUUGGGUGCUCAGGGCAAUGCAUAAUGGAGGAUGAGAAGGAUGAGAACACACCUCUAGUAGUUUAACACCAUUUCUAUUGGGUGUUUAAUGUCCUUAUUUCCUGAUGAGACAAGGCCUCUUUCUUUCCAGAUGGCCCCAUGAGCAUGCACCACCAUGAAGGUGUACUUAGUAUAGGUGUCAAUGUUUACUCAACUUGGUGAGGGUGAUUAGCUCAGGUUUCGGACCAGAGGUACUGGCAGAAAGGGCACAGGCUUCUAUUAUCCAGUCAAUAGUUAUGAUCGCACAACUGGCUCAGCAUUUUUCCUCCUCCAUGAAACAGCUCCCAUCAGUUUAAAUUUCCCAAUCUGGAGCAUUUAUUGGCUGGGCUUCCAGGUCUGGGCUGCUGAAGUUGACUGCAUCAAAAAAUUUCAAACAGUCAUGCACUAAAUCAAAAUCAAGUGCUGUAGCUGGGAGCAGAAAUUUAAAAUUACCUUUAUUUUUCCUCUAUUGCCUCCCCAACAUGAAUCCAUCAGAAGAUACAUCAUUCAUUAUUUCAAAAUAUAUUCUACAUUUAUAUAUCCAAAGAAAUGUUACUGUGGAAAUAUUUCAUCAGAUCUUCAUCAUGAGACUCUGUGAGGGCAGAGACUUGGCCUCACCUCCCAUUAGCUCCACUCCCACACUGGAGAGCUUGCAGUCCUGAGCCUGCAGAAGCUGAGCUGCAUGGCCAGCUUGGCUUGAGUGAAGGAGUGGAUGUGUGUUCCCCUCCACAUGGGGUAUGUGAGCCUGAGGGUCUGGGAAUUAAUAUAUUCCUAAAAAAAUACAUCCUAUCUUGUAUAUGGUGGGUUCAGGCUUUCUGUUUGUUGAUCUCGAUUCCCCUGAGUGAUCCCCAUCUUUCCAACUUUGUGGAAGACAAAAGUGAAAUAACUAUUGGGACAAUUCUUCUCUACAGACAAUGGAGACUCUGAGAACAUCCAGAAAUAUCCACAGGACUGGCGAGGCUGUGGGCUUUCAACCACCACGAGAGGCUGUUUGCAUAUGAUUCUUCUAAAAUUGACAUCAGUGAAAUGCCUUGAAGAUAAUAAAGUGUUGAAGAAAUAAACAAAAUCAGAAUAUAUGGGAUCAGUUAGAAAGCUCUUAUUUAAGGUGAGUUUAUGAAAUGAGGAUGAUUGCACUUGUAAAUUCUUAGAAUUCUUAGAGUGAUUAUGUAGAUUACAGUUAUUCCAGUACCUGGCCCUUGGUAAGUUUUGCUUUCACACUUAUGAUCUUUUUCCUCCAAAAUGAAAGGUACAUCUGUUUCCAUAGUUUAAAAAUAUGUCUGUGUCUGCCUGGCUUGUCAGAGGUUUACAAGGCAUGGAGAUUAAAAGCCCUUCCCUGGGGAGGAGCCCUGACCCCCACCUCCUGUGCCUGACCCAGUUCAGUGGUUCCUAAGUACACCCUGGUGACCUGAUCCUUCCCCUUGUGGUCCCAAGAACCCCUGCAGGGCAGGUUUGUGUCUGAGUUCACUCUGGAUUCGAGUCACAGUGCCUUGAGCACAGUAAUACACGCCUGCCUCCCCAGCCAUCACACUUCUCAGCUGUAAGUUUUCUUGUUUUUUACUAUGUGUUUCUGGAGAUGCUAGCUCUGCCCUGAAGGUUGGGGCUUAGUGUUUCCCUUAACCCAUAUCACACCAACACACUGAAGACCUUUUGAUGGGAGAUGGUGGAUCCAGGAAACAGAAUGUUCAGAAAUUGAAUGUGCAUAGGCGGCAUAGGUGAGGCUGAGCAUGACCAAGGGGACCACUACUUCUUCCUCCCAUUGCACAAGGUGGUCCUCACUGUGAACCCCUGAGAAUAGAGAACAUCUGUGAGUCACAGACACAUUUGCCUCAUCCCGUGUCUCCCCACGUAUGAAAUCAUGAGUAACUCACCACAGAGGGCAGCCAGCAGGCAGAGAAGGAGUAGCGGAGGGGCCAUGUAUCUAUGGAUGUGGAGAGUGCUACUAGAGACCCCAGCUCAGAGCCAGCACACAGCAUAACACUCACAGCCCUGCCUCUAUUCGUUCUUGAACCCGGGACUUAUUUGCAUGGACAGAGCCCCAAGGGCAUAGGGUGAAGGGGUAAUGUGAGGGGGAGCUCACUGCCCCUGAGCUCUCCUCAGACAGGGUCAUAGAAUGGGGUCUUGUCUUGUAGAACAGUGGGGAAUCUCUGGGUUCCAGGAAAAUGAAAACUUAAAUGUAUCUCAGGACUCUGGAGCUCCCUUUAGGAGUCUCUGUUUCUGUCUUCUUGCUAAAUAUUCUCAGCAAGAUCAGCUGAAAUUCGUCAUUAGAAGAGGGAGUUCUUAGUAUUCUUUGGCUGGAAAGAAGGCUCUUCUCCCAUGACCAACUAAAUAAGCAACCAAUAUAAUCUAAUAUACAUUAUCAAUGUCACAUGAGUCAACAUAGACUGCUUUCUUUAUUUUUUUUCUUUUAAGCAUAUUGUUCAACAUUUGUUCUAUUUUAAAAUCUUCAAGAGACGUUCAUAUGAAAAUAUAGCUUAAAUAUGGCCUCAUUGGUGCAGAUGAUAAAGCAUGGAAACUUUGCUUUUUCAGAAACAUGGAGGAUAUGAGAGCAAGCAAUGAAGUAAUGUUACAAAAUGACAUAUUUGAGUAGUUCAUACUGGUGGAAUUUUCCUGGCACUCUCAUGAGUUGAAACAUAAUCAUUAAAGACUCUGGCACUUGAAACCGUGAUGACAGCUGCAUUUCUUGCAGUCAAGGGAACUCGGAGUGUUUUAGCUUAUGGGUUCUGUGGAAGCCAGGCCACUUGUCUUCCUCGCUUCAGCCCCCUUCGCACAGGAGGUGACGAAUCUCUUCCCUCACUGGAGUUCCUGGAGCCAGAGUAUACAAAGAAGCCACACACAAAGCUCCUAAAGAGAGCUCCACAGGCCUGAGACAUAUUAAAUUGUCAUCUUCCUGGGACCAAGAGAUUCCCUCCAUUAUGAAAAUGUUGUACAGCCUUAUUAUGCAACACACUCUGUUUUGCUCUGUGUGAGUUCCACUCCCACUGUCACAGCUCUGUCAGCAGACCCUGAGGCCUGGGCAUCAAUUUCAAAUCUUCAUGGAGAGCCAAUGCUGUGGGAAGGGUGUCCUUUAGUCUGUGAUAUUCACGAGUGAGGGACAGAGCUGGACAUUUUAGUGAAUCUCAGAGCUGCAGGGAAAGUACUGUCUUCAGCUACUCUUCUCUGCCUAGACUUGGGACUAUUCUAUAAUUUCCUCACUGGAUUAAUAAUCGGUACCUGUUGAAUCCUGUGUCCACUGUUCAAUAUAACCCGGUAGGGUGGAACAAUCGGAAAAUCAUCUGCUUUAUGCCUGCAUCCUCUCCUGGCUAAGAUUUCAAUAGGUCCAGUUGUGCACAUUAGGUAGAAUUGUCAUGUCUGAAGAAGGUAGUAUCAUUCUUGUUUUGUAGUUUAUUCUGUAAGGGUUUCUAAUUACAGCACUGCAUAACCAAUGACCAUAAUCAAGAAGGAGACAUUCAGCAUGAGACUCCACAGAAGGUGCUAGUCUCAUAGAGAAGUAGACCUCCAUUGAGAAGCUCAGAUGUAGGGACGAGCCCCACAGGGUCGGUGGGUUUUUCUCCCUGUGUGUGGAGAUGAGAGAUUGUAGAAAUAAAGACACAAGACAAAGAGAUAAAAGACAGCUGGGCCCAGGGGACCACUACCACCAAGACAUGGAGACCGGUAGUGGCCCCGAAUGUCUGGCUGCACUGAUAUUUAUUGGACACAAAGCAAAAGGGGCAGGGUAAAGAGUGUGAGUCAUCUCCAAUGAGAUAGGUAAGGUCAAGUGGGUCACGUGUCCACUGGACAGGGGUCCUUUCCUGCCUGACAGCUGAGGCAGAGAGAGAGAGAGAGGGAGAGAGACAGACAGCUUACGCCAUUAUUUCUGCAUAUCAGAGACUUUUAGUACUGUCACUAAUUUUGCUACUGUUAUCUAAAAGGCAGAGCCAGGUAUACAGGAUGGAACAUGAUAGCAGACUAGGAGAGUGACCACUGAAGCACAGCAUCAGAGGGAGAUGAUUAGGCCUCCAGAUAACUCAGGUGGGCCUGACUGAUGCCCUACACAAGAGGUGGAGGAGGAGAGUCUUCUCUAAACUCCCCUGGGGAAAGGGAGACUCCCUGUCCUGGUCUGCUAAGUAGCGGGUGUUUUUCCUUGACACUGACGCUACCGCUAGACCACGGUCUGCUUGGCAACGGGCAUCUUCCCAGAAGCUGGUGUUACCGCUAGACCAAGGAGCCCUCUGGUGGCCAUGUCCGGGCAUAACAGAAGGCUCGCAGUCUUGUCUUCUGGUCACUUCUCACCAUGUCCCUUCCACUCCUAUCUCUGUAUGGCUUGGUUUUUCCUAGGUUAUGAUUAUAGAGCGAGGAUUAUUAAUAACAUUGGGAUAAAGAGUAAUUGCUAUAAACUAAUGAUUAAUGAUAUUCAUAUAUAAUCAUAUCUAUGAUCUAUAUCUAGUAUAACUAUUCUUAUUUUAUAUAUUUUAUUAUACUGGAACAGCUUGUGCCCUCGGUCUCUUACCUUGGCACCUAGGUGGCUUGCCACCCACACUCAGAGACCUUUCUCCCUGGGUAAAGUGUGCAGUCCACCAGGGUGCAGACAUGCUCUAAAUCCAUAGACACCUGAUGUGUCCUAGAAGUAAGGAGCAUAGGUAUGAGCAACCCUACCCCAUCCUCUGUAGCUGACAUCAUUCCCAGUGAUCACUUGACAAGUGUGUGGUGCUGCCCAGUUCAUUGAUGCUUCUCAUGUAGGAGACUAGCAGGCCAGGGAAGAGCACCAUCUUGGCAAAAACAGCUGAACCUGUCAUUAGGUAAGGGAUGUUUUUCCAUAAUAGAAGACAUAAAUUUAACUAUCAUUAAGUCCUCUAGGUUGUCAUUUGAAACUGCCCAAUAUUGAUAGCAUAUGGACAAAUGAAAACCUCAAUAAGUAAUUAGCUGAGUGAUGUUUAAUGUAUUGUAGUGUGACCUACUGAUGCUGAGCUACACGGUAGUUGUGCUGAAAUGAGUGUGGGUAGAGGUCCUCCUCCACAUGGUGUAGGUGAGCCUGAGGGUCUGGCGACCAACAUGUACCUGGAGAAGAUGCCCAUGGGCAGCAGAACUUGUUAUAGUGGGUUUGCUGAAAGUGUCUAUUUUGGUCCCCUCUAUUAUGUCCCCACAAAGCAUGUUCUGGACUUCUGACCGUCAAGAGGGCAAAAAGCAGUGAAGGGCUGAGAGAAUUCUUUCUGUCUCUUGAACCUGAACAUACUGAGAAGCCUAGAGAGAGCUCGGAGCUCCUGGAGACGCUUAUGGGAUUUUACCACCCAGGAAGACUCUUUGCACAUUAUCUGUCUAGAUAAACACUCAUGCAACACUUUAGUAAAGAUAAAAUGAUAGAAGAAAUUGUCAAAUAACUUCAAUUCAGAAUAUUAAAGUUUAUUUAGAAAGUCAGCAGCAUGCAGUUUUAUUAUUGUAGUUUCAUAGCAUAUUUGCAGUUCAGGUACUAGGAAACCUCCCCCCGCUUUGAUGUUUGUAUUCAAGGUUACUUUGGACAUCUGGGGUCUUUUGUGAUUCAAUUUUAUCAUUUAAAAAGUAGUUUGUUGAAAAUGUCAUUUGUAUAGAAAUUGCUUUGGAUCUGUAGAUUGCUUUGGGUAGUAUAGACAUGUUAACAGUAUUAUUAUCUUCAAUCUGUGAAUAUGGAAUAGUUUCCCAUAUAUUUGCAUAUAGAUUUAUUUAUUUCAUCAAUGUCAUAUAGUCUUCAAUGCACAGAUUUUCACUUAUUUGACCAACAUUUUUUCUAAGUGAUUUUUAGAAAUAGAUAUUGGUCUUGCUGUGUUGCCCAGGCUGGUCUCAAACUCCUAGCCUCAAGUGAUUCUCCCCUACCUCCCAAAGUACAAGAAUUACAGGUGUAAACUACUGUGCAUGGCCACUAAGUAAGUUAUUUAAUAUUGUAAAUGCAACUGACAUUGUCUUAUGAUUUUUAAAUAGUUAAUUUUUAGUUUUUAGUAACACUACUGAGUUUUCCAUAUAAAUUUUGUAUACUGCAAUGUUACUAAAUUUGUUUGUUAGUUUUCAGUGGCUGUUUUUUCAGAAUUUUUUAUUUUUUUGGAAUUUAUAAAGUUAUAUUGUCUGUAAACAGAAACAAUUUAACUUAUUCCCCUCAAUUUGUAUGCCUUUUACUAUUUUUUUCUUUCUCAAAUUUCUAUGGUUAAAACUAUCAUCAAUAUGCUGAUUAGAAUUAUUAAGACUGGGCAUUCUUUUCUUAUUCCUUAUCUUAGAAGAAAAGCUUUCCAUUGUUCUCAGCAGGAAGGUUUAUGUCUGGACUCACAUUGACUUCCUCUCACUGUUUGUCUUGCACAGUAAUACAAACCAUGUCCUCAGAUGUCACAGAGCUCAGGUAUAGUCAAAAUUGUUUCUUGGAUGAAUCUCUGGAGAAGGAGAGUUGGCUCUGCAGAGAUGGAUCAUCGUGUGUGUCACCCUUGCAAUGUGUUCCUGACAGCCCAUGGAAGCGGGCUAGUGGAUUCAGCUCCAGCAGUAACUGUUGGUUGGGAUGGACAACCCAGAAAUGGGGCAUGUGAGGAAGAGAAAAUGAAAGUGGAUAGCCUGUUACCGAAAACUGCUGGACUAAGACACUUGUAAGCCUGUCAAUCUCAGUGGCCAACAGACAUGAAAAAAAUUUCCAACAUCAUUAAUUAUCAGAGAAAUGCAAAUAAAAACAACAAUGAAAUACCAUCUCAGACCAGUCAUAAUAGCUAAUAUGAAAAAAGUUAAACAAAAAACAGCUGCUGGGUGGGAAGUGAAGAAAAGGGAACACAUACAUGGGUGGUGGAAAUGUAAAUUAGUUCAGCACUGUGCAAAGCAGUUUAGAGAAUUCUCAAAGAACUUGAAACAGAGCUACUGUUUGACCCAGCAAUCCCAUCAUUAGGUAUAUAGCCAAAGUAAAAUAAAUCAUUCUACCAAAAAAUGCACAUGCACUCAUGCCUCUUGCCACACUAUUCACAACAGCAAAGAUAUGGAAUCAAUCUAGGUGCCAAUCAAUGAUGUAUUAGAUGAAUAAAAUGGUAUGUAUGCAAUAUAAAAUCAUAAAAUACCACACAUUCAUAAAAAAAAGUGUGGUGGCUCACACCUAUAAUCCCAGCACUUUGGGAGGCUGAGGCAGACAGAUCAUGAGGUCAGGAGAUCAAGAUCAUCCUGGCCAAUAUAGUGAAACCCCCUCUCUGCUAAAAAUACAAAAUUUAGCUGGGCAUAGUGGCACAUGCCUGUAAUCCCAGCUACCCGGGAGGCUGAGGCAGGAGAAUCACUUGAACCAGGGACUUAGAGGUUGCAGUAAGCUGAGAUCGCGUCACUGCACUCCUGCCUGGUGAGAGAGUGAGACUCUGUCACAAAAGAAACAAAAUCAUGUCCUUUGCAGCAACAUGGAUGCAGCUGGAGGUCAUAGUCGUAAACAAGUUAACACAGAAAAAGGAAACAAAAUAUCACAUGUUCUCACUUGAAAGUGAGUGCUAAAGGUUGAGCACAUGUGGACAUGACCAUGGAAACAAUAGGCACUGUGAACUGCUGGAGUGGGGAGGGAGAGAGAGGUGCAUGGGUUGAAAGACUGACUAUUGGGUAUUAUGCUAACUCCCUGGGUGAGGGGAUCCAUACCCCAAACCUCAGCAUCACACAAUAUGCCCAUGUAAAAAAACUUGCAUAUGUACCCCCUGUACCUGAAAUAAAAGUUGAAAUUUUAAAAAUAAUAUUAAAAUUAUAAUUAAAUAAUUUUUCUUCAAUUUUUUGAAUAGUUUAACAAUAAUCUGUUUUCAUGAUUUUUUUUUAAGUUAAGUAGAACACAACUGUGAAACCAUCAGGUCCUGAACAUUUCUGUGAUGGGAGACUUUUCAUUAUUAUUAUCUCCUGUUAUUCAUUGUUCUGUUUAGGCUUUCUACUUCUUCUUGGUUCAGUCUUGGUAGUUUGCAUGUGUUCAUGAAUUUAUCCAUUUCCUCUAGGUUCUUGAAUUUUCUCUAGCAUAUAGUUGUUCAUAAUACCCUCUAAUGAUCUUUUGUAUUUUUGUGGUAUCAUUGUGAUGUCUCUUUUUUCAUUUCUGAUUGUAUGUAUAUGGGCAUUUUCUCUUUUCAUUUGUAGUUAAUCUAGAUAAUGCCUUCUUGCUUUUUUACAUUUUCAAGAAAACAACUGUUUUGCUGAUCCCUUUUGUUAUUACUUAUUUAUUUUUGGAGAUGGAGUCUUGUUCUGUUGCCAGGCUGGAGUACAGUGGCGCGAUCUCGGCUCACUGCAACCUCGGCCUCCCAGAUUCGAGGGAUUCCCCUGCCUCAGCCUCCCAAGUAGCUGGGAAUAUAGGCGUGUGCCACCACGCCUGGCUAAUUUUUUGUAUUUUGGUAGAGACGGGGUUUCACCAUGUUGGCCAAGAUGGUCUCAAUCACCUGACCUCAUGAUCCGCCCCCCUCGGCCUCCCAAAAAGCUGGGAUUACAGUCAUGAGUCACCGCGCCCGGCCUUGCUGAUCCUUUAUAGAUUUUUUUUUCUGUAUUUUAAAAUUCUGCUCUGAUAUUUACUGUCUAUUUUUUCUACAAUUAUGAAUUCUGUUUGUUCUUGCUUCUCUAGUUCUUAAGACACAUAGGUGGGUGGUUUUUGAGAAAUCGUUCUACUUUUUUGAUUUAGGUGUUUAUUGCUAGAAACUUUUCUCUUAAUAUUGCUUUAGCUGUAACCAGUAGCUUUUGCUAUAUUGUAUUUCUAUUUUUAUUUAUUUCAAUAAAUUUUUAAAGUUUCAUUUUAAGUUAUUCCUUUAUCCAAUGGUCACACAGAAGCAUGUUGUUUAAUUUUCAUAUAUUUGCAUUGUUUCAAAUAUUCCAUCCUCUAGGGUUUCUAGUUUAUUUCAUUGUGUUUGGAAAUGAUACUUGAUAUGGCUUUGAUAUUUUUAUAAUUUCGAGACUUUUUUGUGUCCAAAUAUAUUAAAUUCUGGAGGAUGUUCAUUGUGCUGUUAAAAAGAAUGUGCAAUCUGCUGCUGUUUGGCGAAGUGUUCUGUAAGUGUCUGUUGAGUCCGUUCAGUCUGUGGUGCAAUUAUUGUUUUUGAGAUACAGUCUCGCUCUGUUGCCCAGGAGGGCGUGCAUGGGUGCCAUCAGGGCUCUAUGGAGCCUCUAUCUCCCUGGGUUCUGGUGAUUUUCCCACCUCAGCCUCCUGGGUAGCUGGAUCUUUAGGCACAUGCUACCACACUGGCUGUUUUUUAUUUUUUAUUUAUUUAUUUUUUUUGUAGAGACAGGGUUUUGCCAUGCUACCCAGGCUAGUCUCAAACUCCUGAGCUCUCUACCAAUCCACCUGCCUUAGCCUCCCAAAGUGCGGGAAUUACAGAUGUGAGUUAUUGUGCCUGGCCUCUGGUGCAAUUUUAAUCUGAAAUUUUCUGUUCAUUUUCUCUUUGGAUAAACUGUGCAAUGCUUUCAGUGAGGGAUUGAAGUCGCCAGCAAUUAUUGUAUUGGUGUCUAUCCUUUUAGAUCUGAUAACAUUUGCUCUGCAUACCUGGGUACUGUAUCGUUGGGUAUAUAUCUUUAAAAUUCUUAUGCCUUCUUCCUGGGUUGAACUCUUUAUUUAUACAUAGUGUCCUUCUUUGUCUGUCUUUACAGCUUUUAACUUAAAGUCUGGUUUAUCCACUACAAGUAUAGCUACUCCAGGUGAAGUUAGUUUUUAUUUGCAUUACAUAACUUUUUCCAUACCUUCAUAUUCAACGUAAGUGCAUCAUUACAAUUGGAGUGAGUUUUUUGUAGGUAACUGAUAUAGUUUGGAUGCUUGUUCACUUCAGAUCUCAUGUUGCAAUGUUAUCUCCGGUGUUGGAGGUAGGACCUAGAGGGAGGUUUUUGGGUCGUGAACACGGAUCUCUCAUAAAAGCCUUGAUGCCCUUCACGUGGUAAUGAGUGUGUUCUCAUUCUAUUCGUUCACAUGAUACCUGGCUGUUUAAGGAGCAUGGCACCCACCCAACAACCUUAAUUUUCUGCCUUUUCUUCUCUUCUAUCGCCAUUCACAUACGUGCUCCUUUUUCACCUUCUGCCACAAUUGAAAACUUCCUGAGGCCAUCGACAGAAGCAGAUGCCAGUACUAUGCUUCUUGUACAGCCUGCAGAACUGUCAGCCAAAUAUACCUUUAUUUUAUUAUACUUUACAUAAUUUUAUUUUUAUUUCCAUAGGUUUUGGGGGAAGAGGUAGGGUUUGGUUACAUGAGUAAUUUCUUUGGUGAUGAUUUAUGAGAUUUUGGCGCACCCAUCACCCCAACAGUAUACACUGUACCCAAUUUGUAGUCUUUUAUCCCUCAGCCCCCCUCAUCUAUUCCAAGUCCCCAAAGUCUAUUGUAUCAUUCUUAUGCCUUUGCAUCCUCAUAGCUUAUUUCCCACGUAUGAGUGAGAACAUAUAAUGUUUAGUUUCCCACUUCUGAGCUACUUCACUUAGAAUAAUGGUCUCCAAUUCCAUCCAGGUUGCUGUGACUGUCAUUAUUUUGUUCCUUUUUAUGGCUUAAUAAUAUUCCAUGGUAAAUAUAUACACACACACACACACACAUAUAUAUACACGUGUAUAUAUAUACAUCUAUACAUAUAUACACAUAUACACGUAUAUAUGUACAUAUAUAAAAAAUAU
rnacentral:lncRNA from 1 species